rnacentral:rRNA from 1 species
CAUCGUUACGGCGUGGACUACCAGGGUAUCUAAUCCUGUUCGCUACCCACGCUUUCGUCCAUCAGCGUCAAUCCAUUAGUAGUAACCUGCCUUCGCAAUUGGUAUUCCAUGUAAUCUCUAAGCAUUUCACCGCUACACUUCAUAUUCUAGUUACUUCCUAAUAAUUCAAGUUUAGCAGUAUCAAUGGCCGUUCCACCGUUGAGCGAUGGGCUUUCACCACUGACUUACUAAACCGCCUACGGACCCUUUAAACCCAAUGAUUCCGGAUAACGCUUGGAUCCUCCGUAUUACCGCGGCUGCUGGCACGGAGUUAGCCGAUCCUUAUUCUUACGAUACCGUCAAGCUCCAACACGUAGGAGUGUUUCUUCUCGUACAAAAGCAGUUUACAAUCCAUAGGACCGUCAUCCUGCACGCGGCAUGGCUGGAUCAGGCUUGCGCCCAUUGUCCAAUAUUCCUCACUGCUGCCUCCCGUAGGAGUCUGGUCCGUGUCUCAGUACCAGUGUGGGGGAUCUCCCUCUCAGGACCCCUACCCAUCGUAGCCUUGGUAAGCCGUUACCUUACCAACUAGCUAAUGGGACGCAUGCUCAUCUUUUACCGUUGUGACUUUAAUAGUAUCUCGAUGCCGAGUCACUAUACUAUGAGGUAUUAAUCCAAAUUUCUCUGGGCUAUCCCUCUGUAAAAGGUAGAUUGCAUACGCGUUACGCACCCGUGCGCCGGUCUCUGCCGAUAAAUCGGCAUACCCCUCGACUGCAUG